ACUGGAAAUCGAACCCGAAACUCGGGCAUAUGCUCUUGACCGAAAUUGAACCCGGGACCCUUCAGUCCGUAGGCCAAUGCUCUAUACACUGAGCAAAACCAGCUAGAGCUUCUUAAUGGUUUUUAAAUAUACGAGAGGAAAAACUAGAGUUACUAUCAUCUAGGUUGUUUUCCUCUAAGACAAAUAUAUUUUUUUAUUUCAGACAGAUUUUCAGGAAUUGCCAGUCAGAAUUUCAGAGCUAAUUUACUAUUUAAAAUAGAAUAAUAUUGGAGGUUCUUAUUCCAACUACCUCUUUUUAAAUCUCUUCAUCUAGUUAGGAAUGGUAGUAAUUUAUUGGAAAAGUGUCCGUGUUCUUAUUCACUCUCUUCAUCC